GCAGCUUUGAUCCCCUCCUUCCUCACCAGUCCCCACCGCCGCCACGAACUCCUGCUCCGGCACGAACUCUGCUCAAGCCCGCCCCCAUGGUUCCCGUCAUCGGCAUGGACUCUUUGCCCGUUCCGCAAGCCGCAAAAGGACUCGAGUCCCUCGAUCCAAAUCCCAGAUCAGACCGGGUCGCGGCGGCGCCACGACAGGUUGCCGGCCUGCUGUCCUCCUCACGGGACAAGCUGCGUUCGCGGUGCGCUCUCGCUGCCUGCCGGCUUCGACGGCGUGGGCCGUGGCGCCGCUCUUCCGCAGAUCAGCAAUCGAGUCGUGCUUCCAAUCUGCCGUCUCCCCUCGACGUCCACGGCUCUGUACUCUGCCGUGUUCUCCCCUAGCGCAGGCUGAGGGGCGCUACGCCGCUAUCUGCCGGCUCCUCAUACAAGAGCGAUGGACGGCAAACUGAGCCCUGUGGGAAACAAUUGCAUCAGCUCAGCGACGUCCAGCGUAUCUCCUCUCCAUGUUUCUUUGCACGCCUCAUCUCCAAGCACGAAGCCACGACGAGAUGGUCUGGUCUUGGUACUAUGUUGAUAGCGAGGGUGCAAGGCUCAAGGGAAGCAGCCGGUUCUGUAGUUCUUUGUAUGCGUAUGGUAUCUUGGAUGAGGGUUACAAAUUCAACAUGUCAGUUGAGGAAGCUGCUGAGUUAGCAUGGCGGGCUUUUAUCACGCAAUAUUCUGUGACAGAGCUAGUGGUGGCUGUGUUCCUGGUGGUUGAUGAUUGUGAGGUUAUCGGCGUUCUCCUGCAAACUGAAUUAGUUCCUCUGUGCUUGCGUACCAUGGAGAUGGGCAGUGAGCUAUCAACAUUGCUGUCCUGGCUGUGCUUCUUCCUUCUGGGCUUGACAGACCAGUUUUUAUCCGGAAGAAAGGCCUUUAGCGUGCGUUUGGAUCUGAAGAAACAAAGCAAGAUAUGGCUGUCAUUCCUCCUAACUUGGCUAGUUACUAGUAUCUCCUUGAUCCUUUGAUAAGAUGAGCUGAACAUAUUCAAGGUUUCUAGCGGGAAUCACUUCUUCGUGGCCAUUCUGGUGAUAAUGGUUGUACUCCAGCUCUUAUCCUCGAGUUUCAUUGGCAACUUAACGUCAACAAUCAUGUUAAGCUGGCACCUAUGGUUGGUGCUGAUGGGAGUUGCUUGUUUAGGUGCUGAUGGUCCAAGAAUUGUAAAGGUGAGGCAGGGGAACCUUAUUUGUGUGGUGGAUGCAAUUAUGUUAUGAGGUCAAUUUGUAACUUAUUAUACUACAGUUAUGGACCAAGCCAUGAAUCAGAACCAAAAUUCAGGAUUGGUGAGAAGAAACGUGAACUUGUAAUGUUUUUAGUACCCUAAUCUUGACUUGUUGCUGA